CCCCUAAAGUCCUUCCGGCUGGAGCCGGGGCCGGUCGGUCUCCGCAGCCCGGGGCUGUGGCCGGACCGGCAGGGAGGCCGGGAGCUGGAGUCCGGGCGGGGAAGGCGGAACUAGCGUGGAUGAGUCAAGGGUGGCGAGGGAGACAAGUCUGCGGAGAAGGAAAAAGUCUGGAGUGAGAAGAUACCGCUGGAGGCCGAGAGAGACUUCUGGGAAAAGGCUGAGAAGGGGUGGCCAGAGAAGUAAAGGAGCCAGGAGAGUGAGCAGGGGCACAGAAGCCAAGAGAGUGGCGUGUCAAGGACUGAGUGAAGAGCACUGUCAAAUGUGCAGAGAGGUGAAGCAAGACAAGGAUGGAGAACAGCUUUGAGGCAUGAGUAGAGAAGACAGGACUGUUCAAGGACUCCUCAAUGAGUGAAGCAUUUACUACCAAACAAAGAAAAUGCAAACUGCCCAGGUCUGUAUCAUUUUUAGUCAUUUUUUAUAGUAGGGUUCUAUAUAAGAUUUCUUAUGAAAAAUGUUUGAAUAUCACUGCUUUGGGUUUAUUCUACUUCCCUCUGGCAUUUCUCCCCUCCCCGCUGCAUUUCUCCUUAAUUGCUAAAAGGGAGAAAGGUCUUCUUUCCUUGAAGGAGCCCUGGGCUAACACAGCCUGUACUUACUGACUUGCACUCACAAUGAGCUUUCUUUCCUGACUUAGAAGCUAGGGGAUGGUUGCCCUGCUGCUGGCGGAUCCUGUUCUUCCAUCCUCGAUAAGACUGGAUAUCUGGGCAUCAGACUUCCUUAAUUUGGACUGGCUGUGACCUCCAUUCUCCAUCCCUGCAGUUACCUGGAAAACCACCUUAGCACCAUGUAGAAGGAAAAGACGUCUGGAACCAAAACAAUAGUCCUAUCCAUUACAUGGGGGUUGAGGGGCUUGGGGGAAGACACCCAGUUCCAGCCCUGGGGUUCCUCCGCCUCUGGAAAAUCUGACCUGCCCCUUUCUUUAAAGUGCACUUACCAGAUGGGGAUAUUAUAGAAGGAACUCUUUGCUAAAAAAAAAAAGUUUAAGUGUAUAUUGGGGAAAAGGCAGGCUCCAGCUUGAAAGAAAGGCAUCGCAAGGUAGACAUUUUGCCAAUGAACUGGAAGCCCCCAAACCAAAAGCUGGAGAUGGGAAGAAACGCAUCCCAAUAUGGGGCAGAGAAAGGAACCCAGCUCAUCACCAUGGCAAAAGUACUCAGGAAUUUCCCAGCCUGCUCACCCUCAACCCAAAGAAGCACUCAUCUGACUAUGCUUGCCUGCAAAUAUCAUCGUGGACAGAUGACCAACUAUUUGACUGUCAGAAGCGUCUGCCUCCUCAACCUUUCAAAAUAUUUCAAAGCACUGUAGGUUCUGGUCAGGAACUCUGGGAUCCAGAAUAUCAAAAGUUUUGAGGAAAAAGGGAAGUGGUCCCUUGAGCAGUCUCUGUUCUUAGUCAUCCAGGAGAGAACAGGAAGAGGGAGGCAAAAGGCAGACCUCAAAGGGCAGAGGUGCGUACCUGGAAUCCCUCAAUUCGAGUGAAGGGUGUAUGAAGAAAAUUCUACAUAUAAUUUAGUAGUCCUCCCACCUUACACCCCCCCCCAUGCUAUAUGUGAAAGAGGAGGGAGGAAGAAGAGUCUAUUUCUGUA